rnacentral:rRNA from 1 species
UCGGGAAUUUUGGGCAAUGGGGGAAACCCUGACCCAGCAACGCCGCGUGAAGGAUGAAGUAUUUCGGUAUGUAAACUUCGAAAGAAUAGGAAGAAUAAAUGACGGUACUAUUUAUAAGGUCCGGCUAACUACGUGCCAGCAGCCGCGGUAAUACGUAGGGACCAAGCGUUGUUCGGAUUUACUGGGCGUAAAGGGCGCGUAGGCGGCAUGACAAGUCACUUGUGAAAUCUCUGGGCUUAACCCAGAACGGCCAGGUGAUACUGUCGCGCUAGAGUGCAGAAGGGGCAAUCGGAAUUCUUGGUGUAGCGGUGAAAUGCGUAGAUAUCAAGAGGAACACCUGAGGUGAAGACGGGUUGCUGGGCUGACACUGACGCUGAGGCGCGAAAGCCAGGGGAGCAAACGGGAUUAGAUACCCCAGUAGUCCCUGAGCGGGCUGGCAAGGCGCAU